rnacentral:rRNA from 1 species
GAUGAACGCUGGCGGCGUGCCUAAUACAUGCAAGUCGAGCGAACAGAUGAGGAGCUUGCUCCUCUGACGCUAGCGGCGGACGGGUGAGUAACACGUGGAUAACCUACCUAUAAGACUGGGAUAACUUCGGGAAACCGGAGCUAAUACCGGAUAAUAUAUUGAACCGCAUGGUUCAAUAGUGAAAGACGGUUUUGCUGUCACUUAUAGAUGGAUCCGCGCCGCAUUAGCUAGUUGGUAAGGUAACGGCUUACCAAGGCAACGAUGCGUAGCCGACCUGAGAGGGUGAUCGGCCACACUGGAACUGAGACACGGUCCAGACUCCUACGGGAGGCAGCAGUAGGGAAUCUUCCGCAAUGGGCGAAAGCCUGACGGAGCAACGCCGCGUGAGUGCUGAAGGUCUUCGGAUCGUAAAACUCUGUUAUUAGGGAAGAACAAAUGUGUAAGUAACUAUGCACGUCUUGACGGUACCUAAUCAGAAAGCCACGGCUAACUACGUG